rnacentral:SRP_RNA from 1 species
GGCCGGGUUUUGCGCAAUUGAAAAUUUCGAACCGUGUCAGGUCCUAGCGGAAGCAGCACUAAGGAAUCGUAGAUGUGCCGUGAAACCUGGUCUCC